GUUCCUAACCCAGCACUGAGUGCCCCUGUCCAAGCCAUGGGCUGCCAGCUUUUCCAGGAGAAUGCUGUGGGAGACGGUUUCAAAGGCUUUGCUUUUUUUCCCCAUGGGACACCUCUCAGAGAAUGACUGAGAGAGAGAAACCUGCUCAUCUCAGUGAGGUAUUCUGCCUUCGGGACUCCUUCAUUGCUGGCUGUGAAACCAUCACCUGCUGUGCUGGCUACAACAAGUUUUAAGUUAUGUACAAGUGAUUAGAAGGACUAAACGAGAGAGAGAUUCUGCUUUCUUUUCUCAACCACUUAACGUGUUUGGCACGACAAUCCGCCGGCAGAGCUAAGGAGUUAAAGAUGUUAAAGAUGGAAACGAGAACUAUGGAAAGACUAAAUCAUACUGCACAUGUCAGAGAGGGGUUCUGUGUGCUCAUCCAAGUAGCUGCAGUCCAAAGUGAAUUCAUCUCUCCUGAAGAGUACACAGACGGCAUUUGAGAUGAGAAUUCAGAAUUAUUCAAUAUUCAGAAUCAAGAAACAUCUGUGAAAAUUACUGUGGUGCUGCAGUUUGGGUGCUGGACAGAAGAGGGUGCCCUUCAGAUAGCCUGAGAGAAAAAAGAAGACCUUGGCUGUGGACACCGAAAACAGCCAGAGGUCGUCAAACUCCCAGUUCAGCGAGGCUGUGGAAGCCCAUGCAACCUGCACUGUGUGGCCUGGAGAAGGGCUCACUUGCAUACUCCGAGCUGCUUGGACACUUUAAAGACUGCAUGAACAGCAGGAGUAGUGUUUUGAUGUAGCUGGAAAUCCCGAGUACAGCAUGCUGGGAGUGAGCGAUGCUGUUAUUGUUUCUGCUGCAUUCAGAAGGUGGCUGUAAGCUGAUACAUUUAAUGUUGGCUAUGUGCACCGGAGUAUCUGUAGUGUUCAAAUCAAUGCUUUAGAAGAUGGUCACUUAAUCAAGACUGUAUCUCAUAAACCAGCUGAGGAAACAAAUCCUGUGCUUGCCUGGCUGCAUGUAAAUAUAAUUUUUGACUCAUACGCUGGAGUUCCUGAUGCGUAUACUCCUACAGGGGGUAAGUUUGUUGGCUGCAUUGAACAAGCAAAAAUGCUUCCACAUUGUAAAACGCUCCCGUAACAUUGAUUCAAGUUUAAUCGAUUACAUGAGGUAGUUCAGAGAGCAGUUACAGCUGUGCAAAGCAUUAGUCAUUGUUAGAAUUUGACUUGGUGUGAUAACCAGGCAAUAAACUCAGUCAGCUGUCAAUCUCUGUAGGAAUGAGCCAUUGUGAGAACUUAAAUAUCUGCUGUGAACAUUUCUAUCAAAUAAAUCAUAUCUCCUGAGCGGAUACUUCCACUGUUUUGACAAGGAAGAAAGAAAAUGUUUCCUUUGGUUAGAUCUAGAAAGGCUAAAUAGAGUUGUAGUGAUUGCAAGCCCACUCUGUCUAUACACAGGAUUAAUGCAAGUGUUCAGGGUGCAAAGAUGUUUUUAAAUCUUGAUUUAAAGUGUGUUUUUCAAAUUAACAGAGCACUCACAGCCCUCAAAUGAUACUCAGUGGGUCAUGUUUGUUUCUCAAACAUAUGCCUUAUAUUUGAAACUGAAUCUAAUGCUUUUAAAUGAACUAAUGAUUAGUGUUUUUAAUAAACAGCCUGAAGUCCAGUGUUAGCUGAUGAACUGUGAAACAAGAAGAACAUUUACAGGACAUACUACAGUAUAUCAGCUUAGCAGAAUUGAAAUUUCACUUUUUCAAAUGCUGGUUCAGAUAGAAUUGUCUUUUCAGGGCAACUUGCGUUCUCCAGUGGAAUUGAACCAGGGUGCAGAAUAAGCUGCUAUAAUUAUGCAAGCCCCACCACUAAGAUAAUUACAAGUAUUUUAAUCAUCCUUAAUUCUUAUAUCACAAUAAGAAAACUUCGGUCCAAACUAUCAUCCAUAAAACUGUUUAAAGCAUGAAAUCUAAAGUGUGUCCCGAACAAAUGAAGCACAGCUUCAUCUUGAAUUGUUGAAAACCAUAGUUACAGGUGACCAGAGUUUAUAAUGUAAUGCUACUUUAUCUUUGCUGAAUGAUGUAAAAAUACCUGGAGACAGUGUUUUGUAGCCACAUUUACACAAAUACAUGACAUCAACUCUGAGAAGACCAUUAUGGGCUCUUCAAGAACAGUUACAGAAGCCAAGAGAAAAGUACUUCACCCUUGGAGAAGAAAUACCGGCAUGCACAGGUGUAAUAGGAAGAGCGACACCCUGUCUUUUGGCCAUAAACUCAGCUUCUGCUGGAUCACGUUCCUUUGCCUGUUACUGUACAGUCAAUACUGAAAAGACUCAGAGAAGUGUGAAGUAGUGUGAUUUUCUUUGUAUGUAUCAUAGAAAACAAAUCAGGAGAUGAAAAUGUGCUGUUUGACUGCUUGUUUUGGUCAUUUUUUUCUUUCCUAAAUACUCUGAAUACUGUCUUCUACUAUGGAAGCAGUUGAACAAAUUGGGUAAGUUUUUGCUGCUGUUUCAGAAGAAUAAUAUAAAGCUACUUGUUUAGUCUGUGUUGUUGAGCAGAAAUUACAUGGCAUACUGACAGCAAAAUAGACUAAUAAUAAUAACAAAUAUAAUUUAUCUCUGCUAUACUUUGAGCUGGACUGAACUUUCUCUGCAAGACAGGAGAAUAACUCAUAAAUGUAUUAUUCUGGAGGAAUUAGAGACAAAAUCAAUACACUUUGCUCGUGGUACACAUCAACGAGUUGUCAUAACAGUGAUUAUAAGUUCUCCAAUGGUAGUCGGGGUUGGAUGCUCAGGCUGCUCCAAAAGUUUCUCUUGCUUGACAAAACAAGCAUGAGUUGGUACAGGCUGAUGCCAGACUAGCUUUUUAUUUGAAAAGCUGACAGUCAACACUAUAGACUUUGUUACUCGUUUGCCAUUGUUGUUGUAUUAAUGGAUUUCUUCAGUAAAUGGCCAGAAGUAGCCUCUAUCACAGGUCCAUCUGCUUUGGUCAUGACUUUCCAUUUACUCCUUUCAGCAGAGUAAGAAGCUCAGAAAACUAAUGUUCACAUUGUCAGAGAUUCGGAGGUAUGGUGGAGAUGGGGAGGUAAUGUGGGUUGGGAGUUCAGGCUUUUAGUAUAAGUGAGCUCUUGUAGACACAGUGAGAGCAGCCCUGCUGUUUUUUUGAGUGAAGGAUGUAAGGGGUGGAGGAGAGUAAUUGUAGUGUAUGUGAAUCCAUAAUAGACCAGGAUUCACUGAUUCCACUGCUUGUUGAAUGACAAAGUACAAAAUUACACAGGAGCGGCUGUAAUGAUGAGACAGGCAUGAGCCCAAGCCGCAAAUUCAAAUCAGAAAGCAAUCACAGGAUCAGCAAAGGAUAUAGCCAGGCACAGCCAUAUCUGUAAUGCAACUCAGGCAAGGACUGAUAGCAAGGACCUGAGCUCAAAUGCAACUCCUGAGCCAAGUGCAGAGGCCCCUGAUAAGAUGUCUUACAGCUCUUUCUCAUACUACACUUUUCAAAGCAGUCUGGUUGUAUUAAAGCUGACAUCAAAGAGUGUUAGCCAGACCCCUGGGUGACAGGUGAAGGGAAAAGAGACUGCAGUGUUUUUGUGAAUGUGCGGCCUGACAAUACACAGUGGAGUAGCUUUAAGGAUGGGGUUGUUGAUUUGGGGUUUUUUUAGUAGUGGACUUCGGUUCAUAAAUAUGUUGUUUCUGUAGAAAAAAAUGUACAAAGGGCUGAAUUCUGUUAUUCAAGCAACCAGUGAUCCAGCUGUGGUUUCUCAUAUGCAGAUAAAAUUGGCUCGUAUCAUAGUAAGACUUUGAGCUUGUCUAGUAAUUACCCGCCAUACCUCGCUUUGUGUCUGCAGCUCCUCAGUUGGUGACCUGCUCUUUGUUAGACAAAGACCACCUGGUUAUCAGAAAAUCUAGCUAAAGCCACAGCAGAAAAAGCAGAAUUAGAAGGUGGGUGGGUUGCCUUACUCACCAAAAGCAAACUGUUGAGGGACACCUUGAAGGAGUUGUUUGAAGUAAAUGUGCUGGCUGAACCCUAUGGUACUUGGUGCAGAUGCUUGGACAGAAGCAGAGGUGUAUGAGUGCCCUUGUGUAGACAAGCUGGGUGUUAUAUAUUCAUAGAAGUGUUCAUCAUUGAAUGUUACUGGAGAGAAGGGUCAUUAUGUAGAAAACUGGGGUUUAACACAUGUGGGCUUCAAGCAUUUUAAUUAGACAAAGAACUAGUUUGCUACCUAAAUAUUUCUUUUCUGAGCUUUGUGCUUUGAUCCUGCAGUACUGUAGGGAAGGAAGAUCUUGGCAAUAGGGGACAGCUCGUUGCAUUCCAUACUGGAUAAAAGGCUAUUACUGCUCAAGCGAGCACUAGAAGACAUACAAGGAGGUCUCACAGGAUUUGAAUUGUUCUGGAAAAGGAUUUAAUAUUUGAAAGAUUUUACAAAAAUCUUAUUUUUUCUGACCUCUAGUAACCCAACCUAAUUGAAAGCUGUAAUAAAGUGAUUAAAAGAUGGAGUCUGCUUUGCCGUUGUCUCGAGCAUGGAGCUAAAAAGCCUUGAUGCCACAGCUAGGCUGCUGCGGGAGCUGAGCUACUUGCAAAAGCUCCUGGAGGCACCUAGCAAGCCAUCAGAGGCAGGUA